AGGAGCCACUGUGGCUCUGGCCCAUUGUGCCGGCCUUCGGGCCCUCAGGGAGGCGAGGGUGCGAGAGCCUCGAGUUCGAGGCCGACCUCCUCCAAAAAAACUUUCUUUUU
rnacentral:ncRNA from 1 species